UACGGAGGGGGCUAGCGUUGUUCGGAAUCAUUGGGCGUAAAGCGCGUGUAGGCGGUCCGGUAAGUCCGCUGUGAAAGUCGGGGGCUCAACCCUCGGAUGGCGGUGGAUACUGUCGGGCUUGAGUACGGAAGAGGCGAGUGGAAUUCCUGGUGUAGCGGUGAAAUGCGCAGAUAUCAGGAGGAACACCAAUUGCGAAGGCAGCUCGCUGGGACGUUACUGACGCUGAGACGCGAAAGCGUGGGGAGCAAACAGG
rnacentral:rRNA from 1 species